UUUCUGUAUCUUCCUCCAGAAAAACACCUGAGGGACUAAGACGCUGUAAUACUUCCUCAGUUCAAAGCACAGAGUGACCAGCUGCCUCUAACAAACAGAAGGGUUGUGAUCCAAAUUCAAAGAAGACAGAAGAUCUGACGAGUUAGAAUUGACAGUGGGGCAGUCCUGGCGUGUACGAACACCAAGCAAGUACUCAAAGGACCAAGACAAUGUAAUAUUCCCUCGGUACAGAGCCAAGUGUGACCAGCUGCUUCCAACAAACAGCAGGAUUCGAAGACUGACCUUGAUGAUUGUUGUAUCACAUACGCCAGACUGAACCUCAGCGAGCCCUCGCAGGAAGAAGAUGGAGGGGACGGAAACGUUUAUAUGAAUAUUCUAUGGAAGUAAGAAGCAAGAAGACAGAUUGGUUGAGGGGUGUUGAUUCGAUUCAGUGCACCGUCCAGAGAAGCGAUACAAUGUACCUGCUGUGUACAGAUAACAAACCUCUUAACUUUAUGUUGGAAACUGUGUUUCACAAGGCAUUUUCUUCCGGGGAAGCUACUUUCACGUCAAUGGGGGCCAUGAAAAAGAAAUAAACAAAAGGAAAGUACAGGAAAGGAACAGGCCCUUUGGCCCUCCAAGCCUGUGCUGACCAUCAUGCCCUAACCAACCUCAAAACAUAAACACAGCUCAUGGCUUUAUUUGGUCUUUAUCCCACUAUUCCCUCCCUGUUCAUGUGAUCUCACAGAUACCUUUUAAAAGUGCCUGCGUCCACCAUCACUUCUUGCAAUGCUUUUCAGGUUCCCACUACUCACUGCAUGAAAUGCUUCUCUUUCACAUCUCCCUUAAAUUCCACCCCCCCC